rnacentral:rRNA from 1 species
GAGUUUGAUCAUGCCUCUUAUAGAACGCUGGCGGCAGGCCUAACACAUGCAAGUCGAGCGGAAACGAUAUCUUCGGAUAGGCGUCGAGCGGCGGACGGGUGAGUAACGCGUAGAAAUCUGCCCUUUAGUGGAGGAUAACCUGGGGAAACUCAGGCUAAUACUGCAUAAUCUCUACGGAGCAAAGCGGAGGAUCUUCGGACUUCGCGCUAUUGGAUGAGUCUACGUCUGAUUAGCUAGUUGGUGCGGUAACGGCGUACCAAGGCGACGAUCAGUAGCUGGUCUGAGAGGAUGAUCAGCCACACCGGGACUGAGACACGGCCCGGACUCCUACGGGAGGCAGCAGUGGGGAAUAUUGGACAAUGGGCGAAAGCCUGAUCCAGCCAUGCCGCGUGUGUGAAGAAGGCCUUACGGUUGCAAAGCACUUUAAGCAGGAAAGAAAAGCGCCGGGUUAAUACCCCGAGCGUAUUGACGGUACCUGCAGAAUAAGCACCGGCUAUCUCCGUGCCAGCAGCCGCGGUAAUACGGAGGGUGCAAGCGUUAAUCGUAAUUACUGGGCGUAAAGCGAGUGCAGGCGGUCGCGUGUGUCGGGUGUGAAAGCCCCGGGCUCAACCUGGGAAUUGCAUCCGAAACUGCGUGACUAGAAUAUGGCAGAGGAAGACGGAUUUCCACGUGUAGCGGUGAAAUGCGUAGAUAUGUGGAGGAACACCUAUGGCGAAGGCAGUCUUCUGGGCCAAUAUUGACGCUGAGGCUCGAAAGCGUGGGUAGCAAACAGGAUUAGAUACCCU